AUUGGUCAUUCAUUGCGAUGGAGAUACACCUGUCAGUGUCGAACACAGAAGCAAGUCCAUCUACGCGGAAGUACUUGGGGUUGCCCCCUGGGAGAUAUGGCGAGUUGCCAAUU
rnacentral:rRNA from 1 species